rnacentral:rRNA from 1 species
CCCUUAGAUGUUCUGGGCUGCACGCGCGCUACACUGAUGCGCUCAACGAGUUUUAACCUUGCCUGGAAAGGUUGGGUAAUCUUUUUAAAACGCAUCGUGAUGGGGAUAGAUUAUUGCAAUUAUUAAUCUUCAACGAGGAAUGCCUAGUAAACGCAAGUCAUCAGCUUGCAUUGAUUACGUCCCUGCCCUUUGUACACACCGCCCGUCGCUCCUACCGAUUGAAUGAUCCGAUGAAUAUCAUGGAUUGAGGAUGCAAGUAGGUUCACCUAUCUUCAUCUUCGAGAAGUGAAGUAAAUCUUAUCAUUUAGAGGAAGGAGAAGUCGUAACA